rnacentral:rRNA from 1 species
UACGAAGGGUGCAAGCGUUACUCGGAAUUACUGGGCGUAAAGCGUGCGUAGGUGGUUUGUUAAGUCUGUUGUGAAAGCCCCGGGCUCAACCUGGGAAUGGCAAUGGAUACUGGCAGGCUAGAGUGCGGUAGAGGGUAGUGGAAUUCCCGGUGUAGCGGUGAAAUGCGUAGAGAUCGGGAGGAACACCAGUGGCGAAGGCAGGUCACUGGGCCGCAACUGACGCUGAGGAGCGAAAGCAUGGGGAGCGAACAGGG